rnacentral:tRNA from 1 species
GCUAUUUUGGCAGAUAAGUGCAUUGGAUUUAGAAUCUAUUAAUGUAAAGGUUUAUACUUUAUGAAUAGUA